AUUGAACGCUGGCGGAAUGCUUUACACAUGCAAGUCGAACGGCAGCACGGGGGCAACCCUGGUGGCGAGUGGCGAACGGGUGAGUAAUACAUCGGAACGUGCCCGGUCGUGGGGGAUAACGUAGCGAAAGUUACGCUAAUACCGCAUACGAUCUGAGGAUGAAAGCAGGGGACCUUCGGGCCUCGCGCGAUCGGAGCGGCCGAUGUCAGAUUAGGUAGUUGGUGGGGUAAAGGCCUACCAAGCCGACGAUCUGUAGCUGGUCUGAGAGGACGACCAGCCACACUGGGACUGAGACACGGCCCAGACUCCUACGGGAGGCAGCAGUGGGGAAUUUUGGACAAUGGGCGCAAGCCUGAUCCAGCCAUUCCGCGUGCAGGACGAAGGCCUUCGGGUUGUAAACUGCUUUUGUAUGGAACGAAAAGGCUCUGGCUAAUACCUGGGGCUCAUGACGGUACCGGAAGAAUAAGCACCGGCUAACUACGUG
rnacentral:rRNA from 1 species